GAUGAACGCUGGCGGCGUGCCUAAUACAUGCAAGUCGAGCGAACAGACGAGGAGCUUGCUCCUCUGACGUUAGCGGCGGACGGGUGAGUAACACGUGGAUAACCUACCUAUAAGACUGGGAUAACUUCGGGAAACCGGAGCUAAUACCGGAUAAUAUAUUGAACCGCAUGGUUCAAUAGUGAAAGACGGUUUUGCUGUCACUUAUAGAUGGAUCCGCGCCGCAUUAGCUAGUUGGUAAGGUAACGGCUUACCAAGGCGACGAUGCGUAGCCGACCUGCGAGGAUGAUCGGCCACACUGGAACUGAGACACGGUCCAGACUCCUACGGGAGGCAGCAGUAGGGAAUCUUCCGCAAUGGGCGAAAGCCUGACGGAGCAACGCCGCGUGAGUGAUGAAGGUCUUCGGAUCGUAAAACUCUGUUAUUAGGGAAGAACAAAUGUGUAAGUAACUAUGCACGUCUUGACGGUACCUAAUCAGAAAGCCACGGCUAACUACGUG
rnacentral:rRNA from 1 species